rnacentral:rRNA from 1 species
UAAUACAGAGGUGGCUAGCGUUGUUCGGAAUUACUGGGCGUAAAGGGCGCGUAGGCGGCUUGGUCAGUCCCGUGUGAAAUCCCUCGGCUCAACUGAGGAACUGCACGGGAAACUGCCUGGCUUGAGUUCGGGAGAGGGAAGCGGAAUUCCGGGUGUAGCGGUGAAAUGCGUAGAUAUCCGGAGGAACACCGGUGGCGAAGGCGGCUUCCUGGACCGACACUGACGCUGAGGCGCGAAAGCUAGGGGAGCAAACGGGAUUAGAUACCCCGGUAGUCCUAGCUGUAAACGAUGAGUGCUGGGUGUAGGGGGUAUCAACCCCUCCUGUGCCGAAGCUAACGCAUUAAGCACUCCGCCUGGGGAGUACGGUCGCAAGGCUG